UACGGAGGGUGCAAGCGUUAUCCGGAUUCACUGGGUUUAAAGGGUGCGUAGGUGGGCAGGUAAGUCAGUGGUGAAAUCUCCAAGCUUAACUUGGAAACUGCCGUUGAUACUAUCUGUCUUGAAUAUUGUGGAGGUGAGCGGAAUAUGUCAUGUAGCGGUGAAAUGCUUAGAUAUGACAUAGAACACCAAUUGCGAAGGCAGCUCACUACUCAAUCAUUGACUCUGAGGCACGAAAGCGUGGGGAUCAAACAGG
rnacentral:rRNA from 1 species